GGUGCCCAGCCUGGGAGUCCUGUGUGUGUACCCAUAUUUAUAUGAACGUUAUGCUUCAGAGCUUUGAAUUCUUCUUUUAAGUUUUGAGGAAGUUGUAAGGGAGUAAGACUUUAUUCCUACUCCUUUUAGGUCUUCAGCUGGGACUCUUAUCAAAAAGAAGAAUUAACAAGGGGAAAAGUGUUUAUUAAGGCAUGCAGCGCACAUGAUGUGGGAGAAACCUGCACCAAAAGUCACUCAAGUGGCGGCUGAGAAUUCCAGCUUAUCUAGCAUCUUCCAUGGGGCAGAACACAUUUUUGGAGGAAGGACAGGACAAAGGGAAGCUGCCUCUGGGAAGGAACUUCCUGAGAUCACCAGAGACCAUCUGGGUUACAACAACUCCCCUCUCUGAAGUAUAGGGAACAGCCACUAGACAGGAUGGGUUUGGACCAACCUAGACCAGAGGUAUGAGAUUGUGGCUGAGAUAAGGACUGGGCUCUGGAUAUGAGACUCAGAGGUGGAUCAGGCCCUUCUUUGUACAUCAGCCACCUGCCACAACUGCUUAGCUCUGUAUACAUUUCCUUUAUUUU